rnacentral:rRNA from 1 species
UUGAUCCUGGCUCAGAAUCAACGCUGGCGGCGUGCCUAACACAUGCAAGUCGCACGAGAAAGGGUAGCAAUACCUGAGUAAAGUGGCGCACGGGUGAGUUACACGUGAAUUAUCUACCUCCGAGUGGGGAAUAACUGAGAGAAAUCUUAUCUAAUACCGCAUAACACUUACGAGUCAAAGCAGCAAUGCGCUUGGAGAGUAGUUCGCGGCCGAUUAGUUAGUUGGCGGGGUAAUGGCCCACCAAGACGAUGAUCGGUAUCCGGCCUGAGAGGGCGCACGGACACACUGGAACUGAAACAUGGUCCAGACUCCUACGGGAGGCAGCAGUGGGGAAUUUUGCGCAAUGGGGUAAACCCUGACGCAGCAACGCCGCGUGGAGGAUGAAAUAUCUUGGUAUGUUAACUCCUUUCGAUGGGGAAGAUUAUGACGGUACCCAUAGAAGAAGCCCCUGCUAACUUCGUGCCAGCAGCCGCGGUAAUAAGU